AUGCAGAAGCAGAUGCAGAAGCAGCGGCUGCAGAAACAGGAGACGAAUCAUUCUUACGUAGCAUCAUUGAAGAUGAAGAUACGAAAGCAAAAGUUGGUGAAGGUGCCAAUCCAGAAGCUGCUCAAGAUGACAAGCCAAAAGGACGGAGGCAAAUGGCGUCAAGAUCACAAAUCUAGGAGCAUUUUACCAAAGUUUUUGAUGACAAGGGCAAUGCACAGGCACUUUGGUACAUGCAAGCGCAAUCCAAAUAAGAAAAUGGAUCCAAAUCAGACCACUUUGCAAGCAACUCCAGGAGAUGGCAUCAAUACUUGGAGAUAUGAUGCAGAAAAAGUUAGGAAGGCAUUUGCUGUGAUGGUCAUAGAGGAUGAACUACCUUUUACAUUUGGUGAGAAAUCUGGAUUCAGAAAGUUCAUUUCAGUCGCUUGCCCCCGCUUUAGUCCACCAUCAAGAAGAACUUGUACCAGGGACACUGUCAAAAUCUAUCUAGAUGAGAAAUGCAAGUUGAAAAAGUUUUUCAAAGAGAAUUGUGGAAGUGUGUGUGUAACCACUGAUUGUUGGACUUCUCAGCAGCAAGAUGGAUAUAUGGUAGUGACUGCACACUUCAUUGAUGAAGAUUGGAAGUAUCAUAAGAAGAUUAUUAAUUUCAUUAUGGUGAAGGGCCACAAAGGGAAGGAUCUUGGGAAGAACUUGCAAAGAUGUUUGCUGGAAUGGGGGCUAGAGAGAGUUAUGACAGUCACCGUGGAUAAUGCAAGCAAUAAUGAUGGUUGCAUUGUUCACUUGAGAAAGUGCAUGGUUGAGGCCAAAACUAGCAUAGCUGCUGGAAAGUUUUUGCAUAUGAGAUGUGCGGCACAUAUUGUCAACCUUAUUGUACAAGAUGGCCUAAAAGAAGUUGAACUUUCAAUCAAACGUGUCCAAGCUGCUGUGCAAUACAUCAAGAAUGGGACUUCUCGGUUGGUAAAAUUCAAAGAGCUAGCAUUGGAAGAAAAAGUUAAGAGCAAGGCAUUCUUGAACCUAGAUGUAUGCACUCGGUGGAACUCAACUUACAUAAUGUUGAAGGCUGCCAUCACCUACGCGAAGGUGUUUACAAGGUACUAUGAGGAUGACCCAUUGUAUGCGUUGGACUUGUCUGAAGAAAAAGGAGGAUUUGGGUAUCCAGUUUGUACGCAAGACUGGCUGAGAAGGUCAGCAGAUCCGGUCGACAUCAAGGAGAACUUGGAAGAAUUAGAAGUGCUAGAAAAAGAGUUGAUUGAAGAAUUUGGUGACAAGGUGAAGGGAAAGCGCAAGUUCAAUGGUGGUGUUGUUGCUUCUUCCACGGCCAAGUCAAACAAUUGUGCAAGUCGACCAACAAAGUGA
rnacentral:rRNA from 1 species